rnacentral:rRNA from 1 species
GUCGCUCACAAAUUCCAUUGUAGUGUUAAAAAAUUACUAUAGGUACUUAGUGGUGCAUCAAGGUCGGUUAGGGUAUAUAGAUUGCCUGCUCGCAAAUCAGUUUAAGGCCAAAGAGAGGUAAUAAAUAGAACUAAAGAGACAUCUAAGCAAAAGACAUACAUGCCGAGGAUCAAUUCUAUAUAUCAAGUUCACUAUCAACUNCGAAGUUCGAACUGAGUCAUAGUAGUACUCUCCUAUCGGAUGAAAAGGAAUGAGGCAAUCGUUGAGUGGUUUCAGUAACUCUGUUGCUUAUCAUCGCUCAUGGACCUCCCCCGUAAUGUGGCUCGUGACUGUAUGACUGAGAAGAGAAAAAUAUAAUUACAUCCACUUCUUCUAAUAUUAUAUAUUAAUUAUAUUCCUUUUUAUAUUAUUUCUAACAUUUUAUUACUAUUAUAAUCUAAGAAUAUUCAUUUGUUAUACCUGCUACGAUACGUACUGAAUACAAAGACGUAUCAAGAGAAUCUCCUCUACUCAUACUACCAUCUUUUUAUUACCUCNAUGGGGGGCGAGGAAAUUAUAUUUCAAUAAUUAUUGCAGAUUACCACACGGA